rnacentral:tRNA from 1 species
AGGGUUGUAGCUCAGUGGUAGAGUGCUUGUCUAGCAUGCAUGAGGCACUGGGUUUGAUCCCUGGCACCACAU